UCCAAUGGAUUUCUAACGUCGGUAUGACC
rnacentral:sRNA from 1 species